CACCUUUCCUACACCCCCAUCAUAUCUUGAGAAGACCAAAAUUUCACCCCUUUUUUGAGAAUUGUGUUGGCUCUAUUGACGGGACACAUGUACCAAUGAUACUUCCACUAGACCAGCAAGAACCAUACCGGAAUAGAAAGCAAACAAUUUCUCAGAAUGUUAUGGUAGCUUGCGACUUCGAUCUGAAAUUUGUACAUGUACAUGCCGGCUGGGAGGGAUCAGCUUCAGACGCAAGAGUUCUUCAAGAUGCACUAAACCAUGGUUUUGAAGUACCUCCUGGUAAAUUUUUUCUUGUAGAUGCUGGUUAUGCAAAUACAACACAGUUUCUAGCACCGUAUCGUGGGACAAGAUAUCAUUUAAAGGAACAGGGCAGAGCUAAUCAAAAGCCACAAAAUUAUAAGGAGUUAUUCAAUCUUCGGCAUGCACAACUCAGAAACCAUAUAGAGAGAGCAAUUGGUGUAUUAAAAAUGAGAUUUCCUAUACUAAAGACCGGCUCACACCACCCAGCUCGUAAACAAGUUGAUAUUUCGGUUGCCUGUUGUGUUCUACACAACUUCAUACGCCUGCAUAAUGGAGAUAUGGUGUGGCCAAGUAAUUGUCAUUUGGAGAUUGAUCCAGAUCAUAUUGUUGAUGUGCCAAAUGGAGACGAGAACUAUAAUGGUGAUGUACAAGAAUUUAACAACUCUAGAGAAGCUGGGAAUAGAAAACGAGAUGACAUGGCACAACAGAUGUGGAACCAUUACGUAGCACGAAGGAAAUAAUAUAUUGCAUUUGACCACCAUGGCAUUCAAGGCGUAAUGCAUCACUUGAAAAGGACAAGAAAACUUCCCUAUUAUCCUUACCUUUGAAGAUAUCAGCUGCCACCAAUAUAUCUCCUAUUUGUAGACCAUGUAAACCUUCAAGCACUGUGAUACACUUGUUGAUGCUGUCGAGAUUCAGGAACCUCUGAAGGUGUUUGUGCCGAGCUAGGUGGGACUUUUGUGAGAUGGACAGGGGUAGGUGAAUGCUGUGAAAAGUCCAAAUUGGCUGUCUCAACCUCUUCACCAAAAGGAAAUUGCAAACCUGAUUCACCUGGAGCAUUUGAA